rnacentral:tRNA from 3 species
GGGGCCAUGGUUUAAUGGGAGAACGCGACCUUCGCAAGGUUGAGAUGGCGGUUCGAUUCCGCCUGGCUCCA